GUCCAGACUCCUACGGGAGGCAGCAGUGAGGAAUAUUGGUCAAUGGGCGGAAGCCUGAACCAGCCAAGUCGCGUGAGGGAAUAAGGCCCUACGGGUCGUAAACCUCUUUUGCCGGGGAGCAAGGGCCGGGACGCGUCCCGGCCCGGAGAGUACCCGGAGAAAAAGCAUCGGCUAACUCCGUGCCAGCAGCCGCGGUAAUACGGAGGAUGCGAGCGUUAUCCGGAUUUAUUGGGUUUAAAGGGUGCGCAGGCGGGAGAUCAAGUCAGCGGUAAAAUGUCGGGGCUCAACCCCGGCCGGCCGUUGAAACUGGUUUUCUAGAGUUGGAGAGAAGUAUGCGGAAUUCGUGGUGUAGCGGUGAAAUGCAUAGAUAUCACGAAGAACUCCGAUUGCGAAGGCAGCAUACCGGCUCCAUACUGACGCUGAGGCACGAAAGCGUGGGGAUCGAACAGGAUUAGAUACCCCCGUAC
rnacentral:rRNA from 1 species